rnacentral:rRNA from 1 species
UACGUAGGUGGCAAGCGUUGUCCGGAUUUACUGGGCGUAAAGAGCGCGCAGGCGGUCGAUCAAGUCGCGUGUGAAAGCCCCCGGCUCAACUGGGGAGGGUCACGCGAUACUGAUCGACUCGAAGGCAGGAGAGGGUAGUGGAGUUCCCGGUGUAGUGGUGAAAUGCGUAGAUAUCGGGAGGAACACCAGUGGCGAAGGCGACUACCUGGCCUGUUUCUUGACGCUGAGGCGCGAAAGCUAGGGGAGCAAACGGG